UACGUAGGGGGCGAGCGUUGUCCGGAUUUAUUGGGCGUAAAGAGCGUGUAGGCGGCCAGGUAGGUCUGCUGUUAAAACUCGAGGCUCAACCUCGAGACGUCGGCGGAAACCAUCUGGCUAGAGUCCGGAAGAGGAGAGUGGAAUUCCUGGUGUAGCGGUGAAAUGCGCAGAUAUCAGGAAGAACACCCGUGGCGAAGGCGGCUCUCUGGGACGGUACUGACGCUGAGACGCGAAAGCGUGGGGAGCGAACAGG
rnacentral:rRNA from 1 species